ensembl:lncRNA
CUUAAAACCAAAAAGUGACUUCUGCAUUAAUCCAAAAUUAGACUACGGACACUUUUUAAAUGUGGCACCAGUUAACAGAACGAUGUCAGAGUGAUCACAUGACAUGUGUGCAUGCUUCAUGUUCAGGAAGGAGUCCUGUGAUGAAACACAAAGAGGCUCAAAGCUGCGUGAAGCCGGAUCAGGACCAAACUGAGAGCGGUUCUGUAGAGUCUGCAUGAGUCCUGAUCUCUAAGUGAUUAAUAACUAAUCAAACGUUCCUCACAGUAACGUCUGAUGAACACGAUCCCUUAUGGAGGGAACCAGCAUGCUGAGUCCUCACGUGAUCUGGUCUCCACUAAAGGCUCAAACCUGCAGAGCUGCUGCUGUUCUCACACGUUCUCACCACAACGCUUCCUCUUCACUUCUGAGGAAACAACCACCAGAUGCAAAGAGGAAGAAACUCAUCCUCAGAGCUCCGACACGUCGUCUCUAUGAGCACGACGAGGAAGUGACGCUGUGCAACCAGAGGAAGCAGAAGCUGCAUCUGUGAGGAAGAAGCACUCGGUCAGACGCCUUGAGGAGCAGAGACACCAUGGUGGAACUCAGAGGGACUCAAAGGACUUUAUGUGUGAUGCUGCUGCUGCUUCAGGCUGCAGUAAGAGGACAAACCCCCCCUGUCCCCCGCUUCCUCGUCAGAGCCGGAGAUGACGUCACUUUGCCUUCUAAUCAGGACAGAUGUAACGGAUCUACUUGGCUUCACAGUCGUAGUGAUCCAGCUGUGGAGCUGGUUACACUUGGGAAGAUUAAGAAUAACGCUUUGAUUCCAGAAGCUAAAACCAACAGACUGAGUUUGACAGCAAACUGUUCUCUGGUUAUAAGAAACGUCUCAGGUGAAGGUGUUGGUCGUUACACCAACAGACAUUAUGAUGAAGGAGGAAAACAUCAAGGUCCAGAUGGUGUGGUCUCUCUGUACGUGUUUACAAUGGAGGAAAAGGACUACGGGGGUCUGGUUGUGUUGUCCUGCUUUGUGUUGAGAUUCUCUGAGUGUGAACACACAGUAAAGUGGCAUUAUGACGGCAAACAGACUGAUGUGACGACAUCACACGUUGCUUGUGAAGCCAAUGUGACGUUUAAAGCUCCUCUUCAUCAGAAGUCAAAGUAUUAUAAGUCACUGAGAUGUGAAGUGAGAGACACUCGGAGUGGAAAAACUCUGCUGUUUGAAGCCUGCAGUCAGUUCUCAUGUGAACAAACAGUAAGAGGACAAACCCCCCCUGACCCCCGCUUCCUCGUCAGAGCCGGAGAUGACGUCACUUUGCCUUCUAACCAUGUGGAUCAGGACAGAUGUGACGGUUCUACUUGGCUUUACAAUCGUACUGAUUCAUCUGUGGAGCUGGUUACACUUGGGAAGAUUAAUAAUAACGCUUUGAUUCCAGAAGCUAAAAGCAACAAACUGAGUUUGACAGCAAACUGUUCUCUGGUUAUAAGAAGCGUCUCAGGUGAAGAUGUUGGUCGUUACACCAACAGAGAUUUUAAUGAAGCAGGAAAACAACAAGGUCCAGAUGGUGUGGUCUCUCUGUCCAUGUUUACAAUGGAGGAAAAGGACUACGGGGGUCUGGUUGUGUUUUCCUGCUUUGUGUUGAGAUUCUCUGAGUGUGAACACACAGUAGAGUGGCUUUAUGACGGCAAACAGACUGAUGUGAUGAUGUCACACGCUGCUUGUGAAGCCACUGUGACGUUUAAAGCUCCUCUUCAUCAGAAGUCAAAGUAUUAUAAGUCACUGAGAUGUGAAGUGAGAGACAAUCAGAGCGGAAAAACUCUGCUGUUUGAAGCCUGCAGUCAGUUCUCAUCUGAACAAACAGGUACGUUUGUGAAAAGACGACAUCAUUUUAUUCCUCAUUCAGUCUCCUCAGGUAGUAAACACUGAUUUAUUUCACCUCCUUUUCUUGUGUCUGUGUUUCAUAUCAUAUUCCACUAAACCAAAGGAGGCCCACCGGGGGAGGGAAACAUUACACCACCUGCACCACCAGUCUGGUGGCCGUGGCUCGUCAUCCCGCUGGUGGGUUUAUUGGUCCUCUUCAUCAUCCUCGUGGUCUUCAUCAGAUGGAGAAAUCAAGGGAAAAGAACACAGACGGACGAAAACAUCGUAAGUUUUAAAUCCACAUGAACUUAUCAACUAAAAUACAUCUUUGUUUUCAUUGUGUUGACGCUAAAAACCAAAAACACUUGAAUACCACCGAUGUCCUCCGUGUCCAGACUCCCAGGGACACAUUUUAAACUCAUCUAUGAUACAACAGAACCAAACAUAAACCCUGAAAGAAGGACUGUUUUCCUCACGCACUUUGCUCCUAAAUUAUUUUUCAAGUUCGCACAUUCCUAUUUUUAGUGAAACACUCACUGUGGAGCGCUGGCUGAUUGGCUUUCAGGAGACGGCCCCUCUAGUGUUUGAGCUAAUUGCAUCACCAUGCUAACCACAACCACGAUGCUAACACGUCUCUGAGCGGCCUGUUGUUGUCUCCUGUGUGCAGGCCGACCCCGAGGAAGGCGUAGCCUACGCCUCCGUCAGCUACACCAGGACGGCCGGCGGAGGAGCCCGGGCUCGGGUCAAAGAUGGCGACGAUGGCGACGAUGUGGUGACUUACUGCACUGUGAAAGCUCCGCCUCCUGCUUCUUCUUCUAGUGCCGGAGCCUCCGUUGAUCCCAGUGACCUCUACGCGGUCGUCAACACACCCAACAAAUAAGAGGCUACGUUGAUGAUUGUAAACCAAGUCAAGCUUUCUUCAUCACGUUCACUCACUGCUGAGAUGAAUUGAGCCAUUUAGCAAAAUGUUUAGAGCAUUUUAUAUUCAUUGAUGUUUUAUUUGAAUAACCUGAAUGUUCCCACCAGAUAAAUCAGAUUAUUAUUGGAAAAUAUAAAUAUGAUAAUACUGAAACCUAGUUUUGCAUUUAAAGUGAGCUUUUGACCACGUUUUUUUACAUUAUGAUAAUUUGUAGGAUUUAGUUCUUUUGAUUUAUAUCCAUCCAGAUGAGGGUGUAAGUGAACUAUAGAACAAUGUGCAACAUUCAUUAGAAAAUUAGUAUGUAAUAUAUGAUGUAUUUUCAGGCUCAGUGAUGUUUACCGUUUAUACGUAAACUUAAAGUGAGCACAGGUUUCAUGAUCUGAUUUUUAUCAUGUAUGUGUAGUGAUGGUUUGAUUAUUGCUCUCGUAAGUAUUUUCUCUUUAAGGUGUCCUCAUAAAAUAAUUAUUAACAUAUAAUGUAUGAGGGUUCAUAGUCCGGGUUAAUUGUUUUUAUUAUAUAUUCCUGUAAUAGUUUCACCUUGUGGAUGUUCAGUUUGCUUUGAACUAAAUAAAAGAAGACAGAAAGGAA